UAUCUGCCCUAAGGUUUCCUGGAAUCACACUGAGUAUAGAGUAUGGGGCAGCAGCUUUUUUUGGUUAAGUUCAGCUGGGAAUGAUGACUCUCCUUCUCUGGAUCCAUGGCUUCCCUCCAGUGAAGGAACGGGGGUUCCCAUGCAACUUGCCCCUGGAACUCUUGCAACCCAUUUUCCUCCAGCUUGGGAUUUAGAAGACAGCCUGAGACAUCACUUUGCUUUGCUUUUGGACCUAAUUGAGGAUGAUGCUCUAUCUCCCACGGAAACCACCUCUUGCACCCUUCUGUGAGAUUAACCUCCGCAAAGGAUUUAGGAUAGAAAGUACAAGGCAAAUGUUUCUUGUGCACCUCAAUUUGGAAAAGGAUGGCAUUUGAGGAGAAGUAGAAUAUGACAGCAGAGAUAAUUUGAGCACACUGUUAUUUAACAAGGACAUUUCUGUCUCUGCAGAAGGUCACCACUUGGAGGAAACCAGUUUGGACUACUUUAUAAGCAGUUUGACCAUCCAGCUACCCAUUUUCCCAAAGCCUGGAAGAGAUAGUUUUUAAAGUGCACUACCUGAGUCCCCUGAAGAAUGAGCACAGAAUUAGAGAACAAUGAUCUAUCUUAACCAAAGACUCGAGCAACACGUGAAGUCUAAUACAGAUUUAUCCAGAAAGUGUCCAAAUCAUCGUAAGAGCUUUGGGUUAAAUGAAAGAGGCACAAACAAACAGGGGAAAAGCAGUGUGAAAGCCUGAAAGACCAUACAUCUUGAAGAGGAUUAACAUAACUGAGAAUUACUCUGGGAAUCCAGGAGAAAGAAGUCAAGCUUGUCUGAAGCAGUUUCUUCUGCGUGGCGAGAGAAACCCGCCAACUCCAUGUUUACCAAUUGGACCAUGAGCUUUUAACUAGAGAAAAGGCUUUUGGUUCAGACUAAAGCAAUUGCUACUGAGUCACCAGAUUAAGUGAAUAAGUUUGGGUGCCCCAUGGAUCUGGGCUGCAGAAAUGGGGAUUAAAUCUUAGUUACACUGAGAAAGUUCUCUCCAAGCAAAAGGCAACAGGACUGUUUCUUGAGAAACUUUACAUCAUGUGACACGACCUGCCAAGGGAACUGAAAAAGACUUAAAAAGUUAAGACGUCAAGAAGGCUUCUGGAAAAACUCAGCAAGGUGCCCCAGACUAGCUCCAGUGACUAUGCAACCAAGCUCCCACUCUUCCUAGGAACACAGUUAAAACCUGAGCUAAAGAAACUGAGAAAUACAUAAAGUCUUUGACCUAAGUGUUGAAUUUGCUGUCUUCUGCAUGCCCCUAGAAUGGCAAAGCACUGAGUUUCCAGAAAACUCUUGCAUGUGUUUUUGUUACCCCAAACCUCUCCAUAUUCUCUUAACUUUUUCAGAAUCACAUUUUCUCUCUUCUUUGCAAUUGUAUUUGGAAAGAAUGCAGAUCUCCUCCAUGGUUUUAAACUUAAACUAUUCCAUUUAUUUCUUAGCUGUGAAAGAAAAUUCCCAAAAUACCAUGCUCUACUUUGUAAACCCUGGAUAUAGUGACUCUUUUAUGCACAUUAUGAGGAGGGUGUGGAGAAAGUGGAAUUCUCAUGCAAAUUACUACAACUUUGGAAAAUAGUUUCACAAUAUCUGCUAAAGCUGAGCAUAAACAUAGCUGGUGAUCCAGAUAUGUCACGCUACACAAAGCACAAAAUGUGUGCAGAUGCAGUACAUGGCAGGUACAUGUUCAUUCUAGCACUGUGCAAAAUCACCCCCAACUGUCAACAACCCAAGUGCAUCACAAAACUGUGGUGCUUCAAUUGAAACCAUACAGCAAUGAACAUUAGCCAGCCAAUGCUGCAGGUGACAACAUGAAUAAAUCCUGCAGAUGUAAUACUGAGUAGAAGAAGCCAAGUUCAAAAGACUACGUGCUAUAGAAUUUCAUUUAUGUACAACUCAAAAGCAAGUCAAAUUAAUUCAUGUGAAGUCAGGGCAGUAAUUAUU